rnacentral:rRNA from 1 species
GAUGAACGCUAGCGGCAGGCCUAAUACAUGCAAGUCGAGCGGCAAGUCGAGGAGUAAUCUAAGACCUAGAGCGGCGCACGGGUGCGUAACGCGUAUGCAACCUACCUUAUACUGGGGGAUAGCCCGGAGAAAUCUGGAUUAAUACCCCAUGGCACAUAUUGAUGGCAUCUGAGAUAUGUUAAAGAUUUAUUGGUAUAAGAUGGGCAUGCGUCUGAUUAGCUAGUUGGCGGUGUAACGGACCACCAAGGCGACGAUCAGUAGGGGUUCUGAGAGGAAGGUCCCCCACACUGGCACUGAGAUACGGGCCAGACUCCUACGGGAGGCAGCAGUAGGGAAUAUUGGGCAAUGGUCGGAAGACUGACCCAGCCAUGCCGCGUGCAGGAAGACGGCCCUCUGGGUUGUAAACUGCUUUUGUACAGGAAGAAACACCUCUACGUGUAGAGACUUGACGGUACUGUAAGAAUAAGGAUCGGCUAACUCCGUG